GAUGAACGCUGGCGGCGUGCCUAACACAUGCAAGUCGAGCGGACGGACGAAACUCUUUCUUUUCUGCUGUUAGCGACGGACGGGUAAGUCACACGUGACUUACCCCCCUCUCUGACUUGGAUACCUUCGGGAACCCGGAGCUCAUACCGUGUAAUAUUUUCAACCGCUUGGUUCAUGGGUGAAUUACUCUCUUUCUGUCACUUAUACAUCCUUUCGCGCUGCAUUAGCUAGUUGGUCAGGUAACGGCUUCCCAAGGCAACGAUGCAUAGCCGAAGUGAGAGGGUGGUAGGCCACACUGGAGCUGAGACACGGACAAGGCGCCUACGGGAGGCAGCAGUAGGGAAUGGGACGCAAUAGGGGAAAGUAUGACAGAGCGACGGAGAGUGAGAGAUGAAGGUCUUCGGAGCGUAAAGAUCGGUUAUUAGGGAAAAACAUAUGUGUAAAGAAAAGAAGACAACGUGACGGUACCUGAAGAGAAAGCGACGGCUAACUACGUG
rnacentral:rRNA from 1 species